AGAUGUGAGGGCAAGCUGGCUGCAACAUCCGUCACCCCAUUGAUCUUCAGGGUUGAUUUGGCUGAUCUGGCUGGCUAGGUGGGUGUCCUCUUCCUCCCUCACCACUCCACAUGCAUCCCUCCCGGAGCUGUGUGCUUGGUAGUAGAGGAUGACCAUCCCCAAUAGAGAAGGACCAGUCUUGGGUCAAGGGUAUACCAGUAGCUGUGCUGAUAGGACCUCCAAACAAGCUCUCAAAAUAUACAAAGAAGCAAUUGAGAAAAUUAAAGGAAGAAAUAGAAAUUCCACAAUCAGAGGCUGUCAUCU
rnacentral:snRNA from 10 species